GCCCAGGGGAGUGGUGUUUGGGUAGCUGUCAGGUGCUCUGGGAGGCCCAGGGGUCCCCUGCUGCUUUCUUCAGGAAAUGGGUGUGUAUGAGUUGAGGAACUCUGGGUGGCUCUGUUCUCUCCUGUGAUUUCCUUUGAGAAACGUUACGCAUUUGAUAAAAAUGAGAAGGUCUGAAGUCUCCUGAACUAGACCAACCUCUCAGUCUCCUAGCAAAGGAACCUGCCCUAGGGAAGCGGAGAGUCUACCCCUAGUUUCUCAGCAAGUGCACGUCUUGGCGGGAGCCAGCACCCCAGCCUGCUGACCCACCGCUCCACCCGAGGCCACUUCUCCUCCCCUACUUUCCUGUGUCCCCCCUGGGCUCAAGACAGUCGAGCAGGGUGGGUGGGGGGAAACCGAGGCAACCAGCAGGCAUGCUCCAGACAUCACUGCUUGAAUGCUCCACGUCCCCAACAAGCAAAGUCAUCCACAGUCCUUGAACUCUGAGCCUCCGUGACCCCCUCCCUCAUGUACACAUGCUCCCAUGCGAUGCCCCAAGGCUCAGUGUGCCCAGAACCACAGGCAGCUCCAGGCAUCAUCAUGGUGGGCAGGCUGGGCUGGCUGGUCACAUCCGGGGCAGAGCCGGGGAGAACUUGGUGGUGCUGGUCCCGGAGGGCAGAGGGAGCUCCAUCUGGGAGGAAAGUUCAUUUCCCAGGAGAGAGCCUGUUCUUGCUUGGAGCCUGUGAUCUCCCAGUGUGUUAAUUCCAUUUCUUCUCAAGUUGGUUUUUUUAGGACAUGGGCUAUUUAUAGCUCCCCCUAAACCCUUUUCAGUCUGUUUCCUGUUCAAGUACUGCAUUAGUCACCAGAAAAUGUCUCAAACAAUCUCUGCAUCUCUGCCUGAAUCCAGCCACAUGGGGACUUAGGGGUACUGGUGGGACUCAGGGCCGACCCCAGUCGGGAGGUGGGAGGCAGGGGGCUGGCUGAGGAGGUGAGGGGGGGGCAUCUCUGGUCCCCCUUCCUGCGUGGCGUGAAGCGCUGAAUGCUUGUGGCUUCCUAGACUUGACUUAGCUCUUGGAGAUGCAGAAACUGCCGUGGCACCUCCACUGGCUGCAUAUUUUUGCCAUUACUUGAUGACCUAUUUGCAUGUAGCUCCUUGCAGAGAAUUUCCUCCCAGGCCAUAUACGGUGAUUUCAUUGCACCACAAACUGACGCUUCUAUUUGCAGCAGCGAUCGAGGCUCCUUCCCGACUUCCUCCUGCCCUUCCUUCCCCACAUCCCUCCCUUUCACUGUAGACAGCCGAGGCGGCUUCGAGCUCCCAUCAAGAAGGCACGCCCUGGACCAUGGCGAAUGCAUCAAGGGAUCCAUCACUGGAAAUGUGCAACAGCCACCAGCAGCGCCCUGGCCGACCCCAUGAGUGCUUUGUGCUAUCCCUACAUCCCCGGGGAAGAGGGGUUGACUUGGGGGUUUCUGACCCUGAGCUCUCUGCUCUUGAACUUUCUGGGGACAAAGGUGAUUUGAAGUCUGAGGCUCUAUUUGUACAGCAAGUUGUCACGUGGCCUACGUGCCAGAGACUAAGACCUUCCCAAGCUGCAAACCAGGGGGCUCACAUGCCUGGAACAAAACUCCUGAGGGUUUUGGAGUUACUGGUUCCAGGAUCUCAAGGCUGCCCCAUUUGGAGCAACACGGGAGCACCUUGCACCCGCUGUUCACGGAGCACCUGCCUCGGGCCAGGCUGCCUGCUGGGUGCUGCAGGAACAAACGUAUUCAGAAAACGAUCUUGGCCAGAAGGUGCCGGAGCUAAAUGCAACCCUCCUGUCUCCCUGGUAGAGCUGGCGAGCACACCAGCGCCCAGAGCCGAGGAAGUGGAAGAACUGGGGCGUGAGAUGUGACUGCCAGGCGCUGGCCCAGCGUCCCAGGGCUGCUCCUGAGCUGUGAUGCACAGUGACAAUCUGGCAUGACUAUUUUUAUUUCCUUUUGGUUUCCAUUGUAGGUAAUUUAUUACAGACUGUCUCCCCACAGAGUAUCCUCAAUUACAUCCUUGGGAAGGGCAAGAGCCCAGAGAACACCAUGAGGCACGGCUGAGUCAGGCUUAGUCAAGGGCGAGCUUGCUUCUGCCAGUGGAGGCCUUAGCACUGGGUCCUGGGGGACCCAAGGUCUAGGAGCAGGGUGGGACCUGAGGACCAAGCAGGGGCUUCCCCUUACCUGGGACCCUGAUGGGGGAUUCUGAAGCAGGGAGCACCUAAGGGUGCCAUCUGCAUCCAAGGUCCUUUUGAAAUGAGGCCUCUUCCACUUCCACUUUUUAAGUUGUGAGCAUUAACACGCAUACCGAAAAGUACAUAGAACAUUAUGCAUAAGAAACAACAAAGCAAACACCCCCAGAUCCGCGGUUCAUGUCGGGAAGUGAGCCGCGCCAGCAGCCCAAGCCCCUCGCACAUCCCUCUCUGGCCAUACUCGAGUCUCCCACCACGGCAUUUGAUGGCAUCUGUUUCCUUCUCCUUUAAUUUUACCACCUGAGUUUGCAUUCCUAAGGAAAACUAUUUGAUUUUACCUGUUUUGAGCUUUCUGUGAAUAGAAUCAUGAUGUAGGGCU